UAUUCUUUCAUGUCUAGAUACACCUUCCACAUAUCUCUCCCUUCAUCGUUAACAGACACCUAUUUAUUUCUCAAUACAGUGGCACAAAACGAAUAAAUUACUUUCUUAUGCAACAUUGACAUAAAAAUAGAGAACUAGAGAACAAUCAAGAUGCUGGCAGAUUAAUAUUUUCCUUGGUAGUUUUAGUUUUCUUAUAUAGUUCAGGAAUGCUUGCGCUAUUUGAAUUCUACAUGAGUCAUAAAACUUUUAAUGGUGAUUCCUCUUCUAAAAGGAUUGGGAUUUAGACCUAAAACUAGUAUAAAUUGGGCUGCCAAUGCUGCUUUUCAGAAAUGUCUUAUAUUAUUAUCACUCUAUUUACAUUUUAGAGGUUUUCUAUGCACUCUAAACCUAUUUUUCUAGUUCCAGUUUCAUUAUCUUCCAGUUUUUGCCAUCAAAAUUCUAUUCUUUUCUGUUUUGAGUUAAUUUCUCUUCCCACCGCCACAUCAUGAGAUACAAACCUGAAAAAUAGAAUUUUGGUCAUAUGCAUAGAACAAGCCAGCAGUGGCAUCACUGCAUAAUCCGAUAACACCCCUUGAAACCGAUUCUGAUGUUUGGUCAAACUGAAGCUCCUCUAUAAUUUGCUCACUGAUUCUGUUAACAACCUAUCAAAACAUGACAAAGAAGUAUGAACACCUAUAGAAGGUAAAUGCAUAAAUUGGAAAAUCCUAGGUGAUGCGAAGGCAACCUAAUUUAAAUCCAAAAUACUUCAGUAGUUGAACAUGAGAUGUAAUAGAAGAGACUAAGCAAAAGUAAGGCCUCAUAACCAGAAAUAGUUACAAAAACUGAAGGUAAUGAAUGAAAACUUAUGUUUAUACUCAUAAAGUCAACCAAUUGGCAUUAUCAAGAGUAAGAGUGUCAUGAGUGCUUGUUAUGACUUACCUUAACCUUGUUUCCAAUAAGAAGUAAGAAAUGAAAUUCAGAAACUGCCAUUGAGCUUGGUUUAACUGCAUCAACACCAUCACUUAAUUUUGAAUAGUCCAAAAGAGCCUUAUUCUCCACAAAAUUCUCAUCACCAUUUAUGUAACUGCCCAAGAAAUUUCCAUUGAACAACUGUAAGUAAAGGUUUUGCAAUAGAAAGCCAUUUGCUAAAACAUUGAGGACUAACAAGCGGCAUAUGUAGAGAAAAUACAAUAGCCAUUUUCUAAGACAUCAGUGGAACACAGCUGUACCAGCAACACAAAUUUUUUUAUCAUUUACAAAAAUGUGACAAAUAAAAGAACUUUAACAGAUGCUUCUGUGGAUAUAAAGGGAGUAGUCAAGAAUGACAUUCCUUACCUAUGCUGCGCUCCAAAAUUUAAGCCACCAUGAUAGAUACCUGCUCCAGAAAGCCAUGCAAAAUGCAUUGCUCUUCUUUGCUUGAUAAAAAAAUGCAAUUCACUGAUAGAUGACCAAAACAGCACAGGAGCUUCAUGGUCAGAAAGUUCAAGAAAAAUGGAAAAUAACUGUUCCCAAGUCAUCAUACAAAACCAUAAAUUACAGAUUACAAAAAUAAAUAAAUAAAUAAGUAAAGAAACUUGAAUAAAUUUAGGCAAUGAGAAGUGCUUGCCUGUUUGGUAUUUCCCCUGGCAGUUCCAUAAAAUGCACCGCACGUUCCAAGUAACUAGCAAAAACUGUCUACAAAUGCUAACAACUAAUAAGAAUUCAAUUUGAAUUAUAGCCAAUAUCAUGUAAAACAAACUGCAGCAAGCCAAUAACGAGUUGUUCCAGUCACUUGGUAAGAAAUUCAUAGCACAGCCACAAACAAAUUCAGGAUCAAAAGCACAAAGAUAAAGAGUUCUACAACAAUCAGUUACUUCAUGAUAGCACACAGAAUUUAUAUCAGAAACAAACUUACCUCCAAUAAUCCAAUUCCAGUAAAAGAAUAAAGUCGUGUUGGAGUAACAGCCAUCACAUAAUAUCUGGUUACAUUGCUUAAGCUAGCCGUUUCCAUCUGCAAACCAAAAAGAGAUCAUUUACUUAAGCACAGACAUACAUGACCUAUAAUUAAUCCCAAAAUGCAAUUCCUUCAAGUUUAUCGACUUUUAUCAACCAAAACCAAAGAAAGAGCAAACCUGCAAAGCCAUGAAAGCUUCAGGCAAUUCCUUUAAUUCAAACAAAAACUUUAUAUACUUCUCCCUCUUAUCUUUCUCAUCUACAGCCAUCUCAAACAGCUGCCCAUUAUCCGUCCCAAUAACAACUUCCUUCGUAGACGCUGCACAAGAAAACAUCACAAUUAAUCAAAACCAUUAAUUCCAGUCACUUUCUACAAGUAACUCAAAAGGAUAUCAUAAUCACUUAAACUUCUAUCUUUUUUCACUUUAAUCGAAAUUAUACCAUAAUUUAGCAAGUUAAAUCAAACUAACACAUCACACAAACCCCUCUCUAACUUGAAAUCACAAUUCACAGACACAGUAAUAAAAUUUACAACAAAACGAAACUAACAUAAAUUUCCACAGGGUUGAGCUUUUACUUUUUCACUUUAAUCCACAAUUAACAUACACAUUUAAACUACGAUUUUUCUUUAAAACAAGCAAUAAAAAAAAAUCAAAACUAAUUACCUUCAGUAAUCAGUUGCCGAUUCCAAGCAACAGCAUUAACGAUCAAACCUUUCAACCUCCCAAGCACACGUGGUUUACUCCAUUUAGCAUGCAUAUAAAACGUCUCCGCACCACCUCCACCAAUAACGGUGGCGAUACAGUGGCUACCACCAGGAUCCACAAACACUCUAUGUAUAGAUUGAUCGCCAGGCCGUCCACUAGAAAGAUCAAAAUCUAGCAUUUCAAGGAAGAAAAUUAGAGAUUUGCUUCUUUGACAGAAACAACCGGAAGAAUUUGAAUGUGAAUUGAGUACCGGAAGAACCGCCGGCGCCAAAAUCGUGUCGAAUAAGCCAGCCUUUGCUGGUACCUAAUAAGAUGACGUCGUUUCCUGCUGCCAUACAGGUGAUAACACCACGGCCUUUUGAUGCGUACCGUUCUAGGAGAUCGACGGUGAAUACUUGCCGUGAUUGAUCCAUUUCCUGCAAAGAUUUUUUAGAUGAAAUUAUUGAAUUUAUAAGCAAUGGUUUUGAUUUAGUUUUUUUCUGAGAAAAAUUGAGUUACCUGACUUUUUAAUCGGGGACUGAUCGACCGGGAACGUUACCUGAGGUGGUAACCGUUGAUUAAUGAAGUUAUCGGUUUACAGAGGGAUUUUAACGGAUUUCACUUAUUGAGUUCAAUGAAUUCACACGACGUCGUUCCUCACCGCUUUGGUUUUUCUUGCCUUUUUAUUUUACACUCUUUGUUUCAAGUAUAAAUAAUCGUGGCCGAGUAAAGUUUUUUCUAAUGUAUUAAAAAAAAAUUAGUUGACUACAAUUUAAGCAAAUUUAGAUUAAUUUUAUUAACACAUGGCUUGAAUUAUGAAAUUAAAAUAGUAUGUAGAAAAAGAUAUUGAAAAAUAUUGUAAACCUCAAAAUCUAAUAAUCAAAUGAAAAAUAAUGAAAACAAAAUUCAAAAAAUAUAACAUCGAAUAAAAAUACUCAAGUCAACCUAAAUUACUUGAUUAACCAACACCUCACAAUAUGAGAUUGGAAUAAAACAAAAAAAAAAUCAAAAGAAGAGUUUAGUUAAAAAAAAAAAACUCAAGUUCAAUAAAAAAAAACAGUGUUAAUUCGGGUUAAAUUUAUUUACCCGCUAUCAGGAUAUCCUAAUAGAAAUAAAAGCUAAAAAUAGCAAGGUCAAGGGCCACUAAUUUAAUGUUAAAUGAUAAAAUUAAAAAAAAUACUUUUAAAAAAAGUCGAGGGAAACAAACCUGAAUCAACUCCAGUUAACUUGACUAAUCCGUCACUCAUGAUAUAAGAUCGGGAUAAAAAAAAUAGACUUCCAAAAGAAAAACCUAUCAAAAAAACACCGAAUUUUAAUAAAGAAAUUAUUGAAAAAUAAAACUUGAGCUAACUUGACCAACUCACACUUAGAAUAACCUAAUAGAUAGAAAAAAAAAUCACAAAACUAAAGGUCAAUAUUUUAAUGCUAAAUGGUGAAAUUGAAAAAAAAUCUCAUAAAAAAAAAUUAAAAAAAAAAUUGAGUCAACUCGGGUUAACUCGAUUAACCUGUUACUCGAGAUAUGAGAUUGAGAUAACUUAAAAAAAAAGUGGAACAAACAAUGAAGUCAAUGACCUAAUAACAAAAAGUAAAAUUAUCAAUUUAAAAUUAUUUUUUUUAUAAAUGACCCAAAAAAAAACCCGAACCUAAAUCGAGUCUAAGUCAUGAGACAGAGAUUACCAUGUAAGAAGGCAAUCAUGAAAAAAUAACAAAGUAAAAUUUUUAAUUGUAAAAUAAUUUAGAACUCAAAUAAUAUAGAUCAAAUAUGACAUAAAAACAAAAUGAAAGAAAAUAUUCAGGGGUUAAAUUGGAAAAUAAAAUAAAUUAAUAAAAUGAUAAAAAAAAACAUAAUUGAAAGAAUAAAGACAAAAAUUAGAUAAAAAAAUAAAUAAAAAAAGAUGUCGAGGGACAAAAAAAAAUGAUAUGAGAAUAGCAAUAAAAAAAAUAAAAGAAUGAGGAUCAAAUUUUAAUUAAAAAAACAAAUGCAAUAAAAUGAUAACGAACAAAAUUGAAAAACAAUAAUCAAGAAAAGUAUAUAAAACACACAAAAAAUCAAUCAAAAGUAGAAGGAUCAAAAUAUAUAUAAAAAUCAAAUGGAAUAAAAUACCAAUAGAUGAAAUUAAAAAAAAAACUAAACUUCAAAAAGCAUAAAAAGCAAAAGAAAUAAUUAUUAUAAGAAUAAAAACCAAAAUUGAUAAAAUUACAAAUUGGAGGACACAGUUAUUUUUUAGAAAGGCUGACACAAAUUUAAAGGGCAUGAUAAAGAAAGAAAAAAAAACUUUACCGCAACCCAACCAGAAUUUGGCCAUAAGUCUUAGCAUUAUUUAAGAAAAAUCAUAAAAAAAAUCAUUAUAAAUUAUAUGAUAAUAUCAUAAUUAGAGAAAGUAUUUUCAAUUUAAGUGAUGCUAGAACUUGAGUUCCUAGAUUAAAUUAAAAAAUUUUAGGUUAAUAGAUGUACAAUUGUUUUUAACACUAUUAUAAUUAUAUGUUAAUCUUGUUACACCAAUGCAUCAUUUUUUAUGAUAUUUUCAAUUUUUUACCUCUAUUUUGUUAACAAAACGAUUCAUGAUAUUACUAAUGAUAAGUGAUUAUGAUUUUUUUUUCUUCUAAACGAAGAUGAGAGUUAAUAUUUAUGUUUUGAGUUUUGGUAUUUCCAGUACUAUCUAUACGGGUUUGAAUUCAAAAUUAUUAUUUAUAUUAAUUUUUUAGAUAUUUAAAUUCAACCAAUUAAGUUUAACUAAAUAUCUAUUAAGUUUACAACUAUAAUUUUUACUUUGUGAGAUUUGAUAUUGUGGUGUAAAAUAUUUUUUAAAUAUUUUUAUUUGAAAAUGUAUUAAAAUAUUUAUUUUUAUUUUUUUAUAUUAACACUAAAAAACUAAAAAAAUAUUAAUUUAAUAGUUUUUAAAUAAAAAAAUUAUUUUUAAAACAACAACACUCCUGAAUAUUCACUGCUCUCUUUGCUGAUGGGUUAUGACCCAAUAUGACUGCAGAAAGCAUGGGCCGACCGAUACACGUAUACGCUCCUUAUGGACCCCAUUAAACAAGGAAACAAACCGCCGCACCAAAUCCCGUCCCUACAGAAUUUUCCAUUUUUUGACCAAUAAAUCCUUUAAAUCAAAUCGGAGCGUCUAAUACUAUAAGCCGUUUAUAAUCCAACGGUCAAUAUCCCACCAUUAGGCUCCAACGAAUACUUUUUCUCCAACGGUCAAAAAAAUCCUCAAAACAACUCAAAACCCUCAAAAAUCCCCACAUCAAAAACCCACACACAAAAAAAAUAAACUCUCUUUUCUCACAGACAGAUUCCUUAAAAAAGGAUCCAAUCUUGAUCUGUUAAAAACAUAGAAAAUCCAUCAUUUUGAUCUUUCAAGAAGAAAGAUGAGUAGUAUUCUUCAAUACCCGGAUGUGGUUGAUGCUCCUGAAGUUCAGAUAUGGAACAAUGCAGCGUUUGAUAAUGGAGAAUCAGAGGGUUCUUUGAAUCUUAAGUCUUCUUGGUGGAAUCAAAGUCUUGAAUCCGAUGCAAGCAAAGAGAAUCUUAGCCCAGUUUGUGAACAAUCUUCUCCUGUUUUUGUCAAUUCUUCAAAACCCGCCAAGCCACUUCAAUCUAAUGCCCAUCCUUUUAACUCACAAGGGAGUAAUUCAAUGAAGGUUGGGUUUUCGAAGAUGGUGGAGAAAAAUGAGGAGAUCAAGAAUCAUGAUGAGAAAAAGAUUGAUAUAGAGAUUGAAGAGAUCGAGAAGGAGAUUAAGCGUUUAUCUUCAAGACUUGAAGUACUUAGGCUUGAAAAGGCAGAGAGGAAUUUAUCAAAGACUAUUGAAAAGAGAGGGAGGGUUGUGGCUGCAAAAUUUAUGGAGCAGAAACAGAGUGUCAAGAUUGAAGAGCCAUUGGUUUCAAGUGCUAAAUCGAACAUUAAUAGAAGAGGGGUCAGUUUAGGGCCAAGUGAGAUUUUUUCUGGAUCCAAAUCAAGGUUAUUGUUUGGAAAACAAGAGAUGAAAACUCCUGUUUCGACGCAGAAUCGGCGGAAAUCGUGUUUUUGGAAGCUUGAAGAGAUUGAUGAGUUAAAGGCAACUAAAGAGAGGGGGAAAAGUUUGAGUGUUAGUCCGAGAUCACGAAAAAAUGUGUCCAAAAUUCAAGUUCCUAAACAGGCUGUUACUACUGUGGGGUCUAGAAGGUCAGUGAAGAAAGAAGAUGGGGUUAUUGCUUCAAUUCAGCCAAAGAAUCUAUUCAAAGAUGGGGAAAGAUCUGUGCCUAAUAAGAAACCCUUGAAGCCCGGACGGGUGGUGGCUAGUAGGUAUAAUCAGAUUGGAACAAAUCAGUCUAAUGGGAAUCUAACUGCUAGCGAGGCUCGAAAGAGGUCUUUGCCGGAUAAUGAGAAGGAAGAUGUUAGUAAGAGGCGGGCGUCGCGAGGUAAUGGGGUGAGUCAGAGAACGGAGAGUGGUAGAGUGAAGAAGAAGUGGGAGAUUCCAAGUGAAGUAGUGGUAUACAAGGAUGAUGCUGAGGAGGAAUCUCCGCAGGCAGUUUCUGUAGUGACCGAUAUGUUGCCGAAUAUUAAGACUGUCAGAAGUGUUGCUGAGACUCCAAGGGACUCAGGGCCGGCAAAAAGAGUGGCUGAUUUGGCUGGGAGGAAAUCAUACUUUUUCCCCGUCGAGGAGACUGCACCAGGGGACUCUGUUUGCCAGGCUCUUAGUUUUGCAGAAGAGGAGGAUGGUGAGAACGAGUAAAUUAGGACUAAAGGGAAGUUUUUCUUCUUCUUUGUUGUCCACAUUUGAAUUGGUUAAGGUAUUUUUCAGCUUUGUUGUUGAUAAGCCAUAACUCUUGUUAUGGAGUAGUAAGGUUGUCUAUGGUUUGGUCUAAAUGGGUUGGGACUUCGUAAGUUUGUAGUGUAGUUUCAUUGGCCUUCUGAAUAUAUGCAAUAAUAUGAUAAGUUUUGUCUAUUGCUUUCUGUAAUGAUUCCAUCUUCAUCCAUGAAAAUGUGAUAUCUUAUCUUUCAUUCCUUCUCAAUGGCAUAGUUGUUUGAUCUAUCCUCAUAUUUUUGCUAGGCAAACCAUUACUUUUCUUAUACAUAUAUAGAAUAUGAGGAGUUCCUAGAAAGACCAGCUUCAUUAUUGCAUACUAGAGAAUAAUAUAAACUAUUGACAAGUUAAGUUUCUUGUUAAUUUUUGAUAUGAUAUCAUAGCUAAAAUAAUUUUAGAAAAUAAUAUAAAUUGUAUAUUCUAAUAUCAUCUAAUAUCUUAAAUUUUUCAUUGUAGAUCUUUAAAUUUUGGGAUAUUCAACAACUAUUGAUUGCAUUUCAUGUUACCUUUCCAGGGUCAAGAAAGAAGGUAGCUUUUUAUGAGCUGGAAAGUUAUAGUGCAUAUAGCCUUUCUGGAGAGAAAAAAAAGGAAUAGUUGAACUUCCUCUCCUGGAGAUACUAAAUGAAACUAUUUGCAAGCAAUUGCUAGAUUCUGAUUAGUAAAGAUGGUUUCAAUUCCUCUAGAUUCAGCAUUUUUUAAAGCCAAUGUUGCUGAGUUGAAAAAUCAAAUUCCCUUUAUUACUGAACAUUAGAAAUUGCUCGAAAGAACCUCGGAACGAUUUAGUUAUAGCUUUUUUGGAUUGUUUGCAAUGGCAGCAUUUUAGAUGCAUUGAUCUUACCACAUUUUUCUGCAAGAGAAGUCUAAUUGAACAAAUCUGGUAAUUUUGAUUAUAAGAGAGAUUAGUGAAAGUAUUAGACAAAUAUGACUUGUUGACGUCUAAUGUCUGAUGGAUGUGUUUACGGAUUAGAUAAACAAAAUAAAGCCUACAAAAAAGUGCAUACAUGUCAUGUAUAUAGUCUAAUAAAAACAAUCAUAAUUUCAGAUUUUAUCAUUGAAUGGAGUUGAAAUUUUACAAGUUCUAUUCUAUUAAGGGAUCGACCAGCUAUAACUAGCAAAGUCGGGAAUGUAUUCAAAGUAAGUCAUAAGAUGUUGUUUCUACUUUUUAAAAAUAUUUUUUUAUUUAAUUUUGGGUUUCAAAUAUUUAUUUUAUUGAACUUUGUAUUCUUCUUGUUACUCUAUCUAUACCUUUAUAUAAAUAAUUGAUGUGUUAUUUUUCCUAUCAUAAAAAUACCUUAGUUUCUAUCCGUCCUAUGAAUUGCCUCAACCUCAAUUUAUUAACAAAAAUUGUUCAUAAGCAUGAAUGAUCAAUUUAUGACUCGCUUAGGUUAGGUGUACAGUUCCUAUCAUGCAAAAUUCUGAGAUUAUUACAGCAUGGACAGGAGGCUGGACAAGCCGCCCUGGGUUUUCUCCCCACACUUUAAUCUUGGAUUUUACAUUGGUCUGCGUGUGGAUGCAGGCACAGUUUAGGGACGCGGCUCAAACAGUAUUUUACUAUUUUAUAAAAUUUUAUUUUUUUAUUUUUUUAUAUUUUUUAUACAAUAAUUUUAAAAAUAAAAAAGUAUUAUUUUUAUAUAUUUUCAAAUAAAAAAUAUUUUAAAAAAUAAUUUCCAUAAUCUUAAAAACCUCUUAAUUUCUGUAUAUGAAAGGUGGCUUAGGAAAACCCAAUUAGACAGCUGGUAACCAUUCAUGAUCAUGCAUUAAAGCAAUUAAUCAUGUACUGUUUUAAAUUAAGAGAAAAAACUGUUAUGUUAACAAGGAGAUUCUCUUCUGCAUUAAUGUUUUUUUUUUUUUUCUUUUGGAAGGAGAUCUUUUCUUUGAUGGGAAAAAGAUCUUUAUAUUUCACAAAUGUUAUCCUUUCCUAUUUUGAAUCCUUUUACACGUAAAUGUAAAAUCUGUACUGGCUAGUUGGAUCAAUCAAAAACCUGUUCGAUUUAAAAUCUAAAUCUAAAUCCAUUCGAGUUAAAAUAAAUAAAAAAGAAAAAAUUCAAUUAAUUUGAUUCGACUCGGUUAAAAUUCAUCUUUAAUUUCUUGACUUUUUUCUUGACUUUUUUUUUUAAAUAAUAUUAUUUUAAUUAACAAAACCCUGGAUUUAACCCGUGAUCUUGGUUUUCUCUGGACCAGGUUUUACAGCUAUGCCUUUGACAAGUUAUAAAUUAAAAGAUAAAAAGGAAAAGCUCCAGAAAUAUGUAAUAGUAGGAGUUAAUGCAGGUUCAACGCAUAAAGUUAGAGAUUUGCAACUUCUCGGGAAAUAGAGACCUGUCUCAAUUGCAGUUACUCUAUUUAACCCUGUCUUGCAUGUCAAGUUUCAUUCUCUCACAGUUUAAAAUUCAUGUUUCCAAUUUUAUUCCACAAUGUUCUCCCUAUAUAAACUUCUCUAGUUUCUGCCUUAGGGUUUGCUUCUAUUUUUCAAGGGAGAAAGAGAGAGUAGGGUUUUACAAUGAGAGGGUCUGCAUUCUUCCAGAGAGCCUUUAAAACUUUUCAAGAGCACCCUACUUUCUUUAAGCUGCUUAUUGUCUCCACCGUCAGGUUACAAAUCAUAACAUAUUUAUUUAUUUAUUUGGGUUUAUAAUUGUUUGUGUUACUGUUUUUUUCUUUUUUUGAGGAUUUAUAUGUUCUUGAAGCUUUUGACUAAUUUGUACAGGCAACACGGUUUUUCUUUCUUUAAAAAGUUUCUAAAAAGUGCGUUUCCAUCAUAAAAGCUGUCAGGCACCCUUAUAGAGGUUGCGUUUGGUUAAUGUCCAGGGAGAUAAGUGAUAGAGUGUGUGAGGUUGGACCCUUGAGACUAUCUUCGUGUCUCUUCUGUCUCAGGCUACCUUAAAUACAGUAAAAAAAUCACUGUCUUGAAAAUUAACAUGUUUAUCCUAACUAGCUAGUGACUGCAGAUCCAAAACUUUUGUUGGUGCAUCAAGAAAUGUAAGCAUCUUUUUGUUGUGAUGAUGUAUGUAAUAUACCAUAUGCAGUAUUCCAUGUGAGAACUUGGUAAUAAUGUUAUUUGUUGCUGUUGUUUUCAACUUAUAUACCUUAUUCUCGAAUUAUUGCAGUGGUGGAGGUCUGUUAACGUUUUCUGAUGCCAGUCCAUUCCAAGGAUUGAUCACAGAAUCAUCUCAGAAUGAAGGCAAGAAAAAGAAGGUGGUAGUUCUUGGAACUGGUUGGGCAGGCACAAGUUUUUUGAAAAACCUGAAGAGCUCUUCCUAUGAUGUUCAAGUCGUUUCUCCGAAUAACUUCUUCGCGUUCACUCCUUUGUUACCGAGUGUAACAAAUGGAACGGUGGAAGCUCGCAGCAUAGUAGAGCCAAUUCGCAAUAUUGUGAAAAAGGUCGGAGGCAAUAAUCACUGUUAAAUGUAAAAUGUACAAAGUGUUUAGUUGGUUUUUUGAAUUAGUGUUGCUGAGUUAUGUUUCUUAUUUUUUUCGUAAUAUUGCAGAAACCUUACAAUGUUGAGUUCAAGGAAGCUGAAUGUUAUGAGAUUGAUCCAGUAAAGAAGAAAGUUUAUUGUCGUUCUAACCAAUCCUCAACUUUGGAUGGAAUUGAGGAAUUCACAGUUGAUUAUGAUGUCUUGAUAUUAGCCAUGGGAGCUCGUGUAAAUACUUUCAACACCCCCGGUGUCGAGGAGCAUGCUCAUUUCCUGAAGGUAUGUUCUGAAUUAUGACCUUGAUUUGCUGUUUAACACCAUUUAAAGAAAGUUUGAAAUUAGCAGUGUCAACUAUAGCAAAAUCCAGGAAUUCUUUAAUACUCUAUCGAAUAGCCUGGGAAGGAAAUCCUAAAGCCACGACUUGAUCUCACCCUGCAGGAAGUUGGAGACGCGCAGAGGCUUCAUAAGUCAAUAAUUGACUGUUACGAGCGUGCAAGCCUUCCGAGUGUAAGCGAAGAAGAGAAGAAGCGGGUGAUGCAUUUUGUAGUUGUCGGAGGUGGUCCAACAGGUGUGGAGUAUGCUGCAGAGCUACAUGACUUGGCAUUUGAUGAUAUGGCAAAGCUAUAUCCCUCAGCUAAAGACUACCUGAAAAUAACCCUUCUCGAGGCUGGUGAUCACAUUUUGAACAUGUAAGUCAGAUCAGUUCUCUCUUAAUUUGUUGAGUUCUGAAGUGUGAUUAUGACUGGUAAUGACAAGUUUUUGAUUGAUUGAUUCUUGCAGGUUUGACAAACGAAUUACUACAUUUGCUACCGAGAAAUUCCAAAGAGAUGGCAUUGAUGUAAAGACAGGAUCAAUGGUUGUAAAAGUGUCUGAUAAGGAUAUUUCUACUAAGGAGAGAAAAACCGGUGAAAUUGUUUCUGUACCAUACGGAGUAGUCCUCUGGUCAACCGGCAUUGCUACUCGUCCUGUUGUCAGGGAUUUCAUGAAUCACAUUGGUCAGGUCUGUGGUUCCGCAACCAUGAGCAUCUUACUAUUUCACCUUCAUUUCUGAAAUUUUACUCGUGAAGGACUUUUCAACUAAACUAACCAUUGAGGAUUGUUGUUUGGGCACAGGCCAAAAGGCGUGUUCUGGCAACCGAUGAAUGGCUGAGGGUUGAAGGCUGCGAAGAUGUAUAUGCUCUAGGUGACUGUGCGACUAUAAAUCAACGCAAAGUCAUGGUAUGUGAAAGCAAACAUAUUCAAAAUCUCUGUAUUAUACACAUUGCGUGGUGUUUUCUGAUGAAGUUUUCAGCUGACUUGAUACAAUAAUGCCCUUUGAUUUAACAGGAAGAUAUAGCAGCAAUAUUCAGGAAGGCAGACAAGACCAACACUGGUACUCUAGAUCUUAAAGACUUCAAAGAAGUUGUUGGCCACAUCUGUGAAAGAUACCCUCAAGUUGAGCUUUACUUGCAAAAGAACAAACUGAAAAGUUUUGAUGCUUUACUGAAGAAUGCUCAAGGAGAUGACAAGAAACAAAUAGAUAUCGAAACAUUUAAGAAGGCUCUAUCCGAAGUUGAUUCUCAAAUGAAAAGUCUCCCACCAACUGCUCAGGUAAAACAUAUUUUAGUUUUCACUUUUCUGUUGACAUUAUUCAACCAUCUAUAGUACUCAUUUACAUUAUCGAUUUUCAUUUUCUUUUUAUUUUAUAGGUGGCUGCACAACAAGGAGAAUACCUUGCAAAAUGUUUCAACAGGAAGGAGCUUUGUGAAAAGAAUCCUGAGGGUCCUCUGAGGUUCAGGGCUUCAGGCCGACACCAGUUUCAUCCCUUCAGGUACAAUAUGUUCUCCCACCAUUUUUCUUUCUUUUCAUUCUUCAUAUGCUAUGAAUUACUUAUUGCAUGGAAUUUAUCUAUUGCAUAGAGGAGAUCUAGGAAAGUAAUUUUUUUUUAUAAAUGGAGUAGUUGCUAAACGAUUGGAAAUGCAAUAUAGAAUACUGAAGCUUUAGUUAUGAAAUUUCAGGUACAGGCACUUUGGACAAUUUGCUCCAUUGGGUGGGGAGCAGACUGCAGCUCAGCUUCCAGGAGAUUGGGUUUCGAUCGGACAUAGCGCUCAGUGGCUCUGGUACUCGGUUUAUGCAAGGUAAUGAUUCCCUCAUAUUCACAUAUAUUUGAUUUAUAUCAGAAUAUUUUCAUCACUUGACAGUUCUCCUCCUCUACUUACAGCAAGCUGGUUAGCUGGCGUACAAGAAUGUUGGUGAUAUCUGACUGGUCGAGAAAGUUUAUAUUUGGAAGGGACUCCAGCAAAAUCUGAGACAGCUCAGGACAGUAUUUUCUACAACUAUUCAUGUCAUAUGACAUUUAGACAACAGAUUUUGUUCCAAUUUUGUUUCAUUCCUCUACUUUAUUUAGCCUUGUUUCUUCCAAUACAUAGGGUGUUGGUUCUACAAUAAUCAGUACUACGAAAAGGCUUUACAAAAAGUUACAAGCUCACAUUUUGAAGAAAACAACAAUAUUUUGAUGCAACAGAAUGAAACAGCAUGAAUUGAUAAGAAAUUCAUAAGAAUGACUUGGUUAAAACGGAAUCAGGAUUCGCCAAUAUUCCUAAACAAUCCGAAACUAAGGGCAAGUAUUGUACCCAAAAGUUUUUUCCAGCAAAAGUUUUUCUGCUGAGAAAUUUUUUAAUGCAACAGUCAGGAAAAACACUGACAAACAAAGAUAAUUAUGUGAGGUUUUGAACUGAAGGUGGAAUAAAAUCUGCUAAGAAUUGCCUGAGCAUCGGUACUUGUUUUGCAAGAUUCAUGCUCCAGAACUCUUAGAUUCGACUUGAAUCUCUUCCGAAUAUUGACCUUCUAAGCCAGUCAGAUACCACUGACACUCUUGUGCGCCAGCUGACUAGCUUACUGUAAGUAAAAAAAAUAAAAUCAGAUGAUGGCAUUAUGUUAACGUUAGAGCAGGUAUUUCUGAAUUUGAAUUAGAGUAUUACCUUGUAUACACCGCGUACCAGAGCCACUGAGUACUAUAGCCAACGGAAAUCCAAUCUCCCGGAAGUUGAGCUGCAGUUUGCUCUCCUCCCAAUGGAGCAAAUUGUCCAAAAUGCUUAUACCUUGCAUUGGAUAAUCGACAGGUGUAUCGGCAUUCUCUCUAAAACUCUUCAUUACAAUAUCAACAAACAUAAACAAAUGGUGUCUUUGACAGAGAAGACAGUGUCCUUGUUAUGGAACCUUAAAUUAGUAUCAAGUAAACAAGACUUUUGCACAUGUUCAUCUGGAUAUUAAAGCUUCUAUGAAAAAGGCAUUGGCAAGAAGAACUGAUUCAUGAAGUGCAUUACUUCUUAAAUUUUCUUUUUGAGAUGGACUACCUUUUAAAUUUCCCUGUAUAUUUCAUAGAAAAUAGAGAAAGGAAGAACAUCUAUUUUGUACCUAAAUGGACGAAACCGAUGGCAGCCUGUUCCCCUAAAUCUCAUAGGACCUUCAGGAUACUUUUCACAUUGCUCCAUACGAUUAAAACAGCUUGCAAGGUAUUCACCUUGCUGUGCUGCAACCUUAAAAUUUCAAAAAAGAAAAAAACAGUUACUCGAAAGAGCAUUGUUAGCUGGUUGAAAGAAAGAAUGAAAGAAGGGGAAAAUUUAAAAUUACUUGAGCUGUUGCAGGAAGAUUUUUCAUUUGAGAAUCUACUUCAUGUAGAGCAUUCUUGAAUGUUUCAAUAUCUAUGAGUUUGUUGUCACUCCCUUGAGCACUUUUUAGUAAAGCAUCAAAGGUUUUCAAUUUUUUCUUUUCCAUAUAAAUCUGCACUUGAGGAUACCUUUCGCUGAUGUGGUCAACAACAUCUUUAAAAUCUUUGAGAUCUAAGGUACUAGAGUUAUUCUUGUCUGCCUUGCUGAAUAUUACUGCUAUAUCUUCCUGAUAGUGAAAUGGAGAGAAAAAUCAAAUUUAUUGAGCUCGUCGGCGGAUAACCUACAAUAGCAUACUGACAGGGCACCUUCUAACAAGAAACAAGACACGCCAAAGCUGGCCUAAGGAUACACUUACUGUUAGAACAAAGAGAAUAGUAUGAAAAUUGUCGAUAGAAAGAGCUAAGUGCUGGUUAGAACAUAUAAAAACUGAAAGGCCUCGUAUCCUAUAGCAAAGAGAUGUUAUAUGUCUAAAUUCAUUUACCAUGACUUUCCGUUGAUUUAUCGUGGCACAGUCACCAAGAGCAUACACACCAUCACACCCUUCAACCCUCAGCCACUCAUCAGUAGCUAAAACACGCCUGUUACCCUGAGAUCAAAGAAAUUUAACCCUAAUGGAAUAUCCUAUCACGCAUUGCUGUGAAGUGUAGGGAAAUAUAGAGAUGUAAAUGGUUGUGAGGAAACAGACCUGACCAAUUUGCUUCAUAAAAUCCAUUAUGACAGGACGAGUUGCAAUGCCGGUUGACCAGAGAACCAUUCCAUAAGGUAUUGAAACAGUCUGGCCAGUUUUUAUCUCUUUAGUAGAGAUAUGCUUGUCGGAAACUUUUAUGACCAUUGAACCUGUCUUUACAUCAAUUCCAUCUCUUUCGAACUUCUCAGUAGCAAAUUUAGUAAUUCGUCUGUCAAACCUGUAAGAAACAAGUAAGCAAAGGCUCAGAUGUUAAUUGAUUCUUAAUUUCAAAAAUCACCAUUUGACAGUUGAACCUUCUUUUCUUGGAAAUGAUAUAUUCAGAGAUGUACAACACCUCUUUAUCUGCAUUUCGAGUACCAAACUAAUCGAUUCCGGUCGUCUGUGUGUUUAGAUUUCAUUAGCUAUGAUAUAGUGUACAAAAAUGCUGCACGUAAUUAUUCCUGCAGGAAUAAUUACCAACUUUCAACAAAAUGGAGUUGGAUUGAAACCUACAACAAAAGGCCAGUACCAGAUUCCUGCAGGAAAUGGUGUAUCCAUCUUCCAUAUUCAAGGACCUUUAAACAGGUAUAAACAAAGCGAGAGAUAUUACCAGCUGAUAGUGAUUGUCAUUGAAAAACGCAGAAAACAUAACCACAACCAUGCUUUAGACCCUACCAGACUAAUUUCUUACUGAAGCGAUCUGCCUUACAUGUUCAAAAUGUGUAUUCAAGGACCAUUAAACAGGUAUAAACACAGCAAGAGAUAUUACCAACUGACUGUGAUUGUCAUUGACAAACUUAGAAAAUAUAACCAUAAUCAUGCCUUAGACCCUACCAGACUAAUUUCUUUCUGAAGUGAUCUGCCUUACAUGUUCAAAAUGUGAUCGCCUGCCUCAAGAAGUGUAAUUCUCAGGUAAUCUUUGAUUGAAGGAUAUAGUUUAGCUAAAUCAUCAUGUGCAAAGUCAUGAAGUUCUGCAGCAUAUUCCACACCAGAUGGACCACCACCGACAACUACAAAAUGCAUAAUGCGCUUCCUCUCUUCUUCGCUUAUACUCGGAAGGCUUGCACGUUCAUAACAAUCAAUUAUUGACCUACGGAUGUUCUGAGCAUCUUCAAUUUCCUGCAUGAUGAACUCGGCAAGUUUAGGUUAGGACAAAAUAAUUUUAAUAAUCUAAUUGUUUUAACAUAAUGCUCAGAAGGUGAAAAACUCUACGCAUAGCUACCAAGUCAUAUGAACUCAUCAUGAUAUUCAAUUUACCUUCAAGAAGUGUGCAUGUUCCUCAACACCUGGGGUGUUGAAAGUAUUUGAUUUAGCUCCCAUGGCCACAAUCAAGACAUCAUAAUCCAUUGUGAAUUCUUCAUUCCCUCCUAAAGUGUUGCCUUGAUCAGUACUUCUGCAAUAAAUUUUCUUCUGUACUGGAUCAAUCUUGUAACAUUCAGCCUCCUUGAAUCCAACUCCAAAUGGUUUCUGCAAGAUACAGAAAUAACUUUAUGUACAUGUUGUUUUCCAUUUUCCAACACGGAUGCAGCUCCAAAGCAGCAUUUAAGCCAUGUUAAUAAGAUCAUCACAAUUCUUAUAAUUGUCCCUCUUCGACUCUUUCAUGCUGCGAAUUCUAGACAUUAAAAGAAGUCUUCAACAUUAAUAUUUCACCUUAAUUCAUGUAAUUCUGAAUGAAGUAUAUGCACAAGAUUCCAAUGCAACAGCAAGUACACUACUCUAUGAUUUACAUUUUCAUACCUUCCUUGCAAUAUUGCGAAUUGGUUCAACAAUGCUGCGUCCUUCGACUGUUCCAUUUGUAACACUUGGUAACAAUGGAGUAAACGCAAAAUAGUUACGCGGUGAAACUAUAUGAACAUCAUAUGAAGAACUCUUUAAGUUUUUCAAAAAACUGACGCCAGCCCAACCAGUUCCAAGUACCACCACCUUCUUUUUCUUGCCAUCUCCUUCAGCAUAACUUUGGAAUGCGUUGGCAUCAGAAAAUGCCAGUAGACCUCCACCACUAGCAAGUCAAAUUGAAGAACACAUGAACAAAGAGUCAUUAUUUAUGCAAAGUCUCCAAAUUAUUGUUAAAAGACCAUGAAGCAUGCGAAAGAAAAAGGAGAAGAAAAACCAUAUUCAUUCUGUAACAUACUCUACAGUAAGAUUCAUCCAUAAAUUCCAUCUAUUUUCCUAGCUUACUUCUUUUAUGUUAAUUAUGCAAUGUUCUGCUCCUUUUCUUUUCUUUCCAUUACUUUUCCAGCCAUAGAUAUACCUUGUUAAGGGAACAACCACAUACUACGGUCAAUAACUCUUCAGAAACACAUCUCUUAGAUCAAAACUCAACAAGAUCAAAGAGAACAAAACAAAAACAGAUAGGAAAAAAAGUUAAGAAAAGGUAGCCCAGAUGAUAACCUGACAGAGGAGAUGACAAGAAGCUUAGACACUGUAGAGUGAUCAUUAAAAGCUCGAAGAGCUCUCUCAAAGAAUGUAUAGUACCCUCUCAUUCGAAAAACCAAACUUUUGUUGCCUCUCUAAACAAAAACUAAUGAAACAGUUCUUUCAAUCUUGUUUUUCUGUUGCAAAGGAAGAAUAAAUCCAAGAGCAGAUUCUACUGAGAAGUUUACGGAUCAAAAAUUUGGAGCUAUUAAUACGUGGUGUUUCUGUGUCACUGUCACAGAACCAUACCUUCCUCUAGCAAACAGUUUGGUCCCCUUUUUUUAAGAGGGGUUACAUAUGAUUUUAAUAUUUUUUUUUUUGUUUUUCAUCUCGGUUGAUUCUAGGAAAUCCUCGUACCAACUUAGAUGUAAAAAAUUUAUGUCUCUGUUUCCGCAAAAAUUAUCUAUCAUGAAACUAGAAAAUGGAAAAGAAAAUGUAUUAACCCAUCACAAUUUUGGAAUAGAACCUUUAUCCACAAAGGGAGGAGCAUACAUGCCAACCACAUGGUAUUUAAUAUUAUUGACAAAAAUGUUACUAAUAUUUAAGUUAUGGUAAUUUUAGAAAGAAAAAAUUGUUAAUUUUGAUACUCUUUUAGCAAGAAAACAGGAUCUCCUUGUUGCAAGCCUUUUUAAUUUUAGACACAUUAUAUACCACCAUGGCCUCUCCACAGAGGAAUUACCAGCAGGCAUUUGACCAGAUCCUAAUUUAUCUCAUUUCAAGAUGCCGAGCACUCUUUUUAAUAUACAUUAGAUGAGUAAUAUUAUUUCCCAUAUCAUCCCCCUAAGAUCUCACCCCAUGAUCCCAUAUAUCCAGCCCUUAAUUUUUAUUUCUAUUUUCUCAAGGUGAUUUCAAAGGUGUUCUAAAAACCAUCCCGAUCUAAAGGCUGAGUUUUUUAAAAAAAAUUCGAGUCAGAAGGGUAAUUCACAAUUUUUAAAAAAAAAAUUUGUUCAAAACAAUAUUAUUUAAAAGAACAGUAAAACAUCAUUUAAAAAAAUUACUUAAUCUCGCUCACAAGAUAAAACUACAUGCCUGGUUUACAAACCUGGCUGGGUCCAAGCCUCGGUGGUUUCAGAACACUAAGUAAUUCAAAGAUAUAGAAGCAGCCUUGGACAAGAAACAUGAUACCACAAAACUGAAGACAUCAAGAAAAUACAAGUCUAAGCCUUGUAAAGUUUGGAACUUGCGGGAGCAUGGGCAUUUUUUCAUGGUCGUGUAAAUCAACGAAAGACUUCCAUACAAGAAAGAAUACUUGUCAGCCAUAUACAGCACCAGGUUACCAAGAAAUCUGUUGCUCUCCAUGCUAUUUCACACCUGGUAAACUAGUAAAUGGUAACAGUGUAUCAACUUUACAUACCAAAGGAGAGUACAUAGACACAAAUUUGAAAGGGAAAAAAGGAAAUCAUAUAUAUUUAUGCACGGCAGGUGGAAAUGCUGCGAUUGAGUUGUGGGAAAACCAGUGACUUUGUGAUAGUUUAUAGAAGACGUCAUUUGUUGUCUCAAAUACGGCUUGAAUCUCUUCCAAAAACGAAUCUCCGAGUCCAAUCAGAUACCAACAGCACCCUUGUUCGCCAGCUCACUUGUUUGCUGAAUGAAAGAAAAGGUUACAGUCAAAUUCAUGAAUGUGGAGACUAAAUGCUCACUCAAAGAGCUAGCAAAUCUUGAACUCUAAAAGUAGCUGAUAAUCACCUGGCAUAUACAGAAUACCAGAGCCACUGUGUGCUGCGACCAAUGGAAACCCAGUCUCCAGGCAGUUCAGCGGCAGCCUGCUCUCCUCCCAAAGGAGCAAACUGCCCAAGAUGCUUGUACCUUGCAUUCCAAAAUGUCAGCAUCUUGGAAGUUAGAAACAUGAAGAUGGAAAGGAGGCUUCAUACAAGUAUAACAAAAACUGGUUCAUAAUGUUCUUAUAUAGAUAUUAUAACAGUUCAAUAGGAAAAAAGAUGAGCACUUCAAAGACAGAUAGCAUACCGAAAUGGAACGAAUGCAUGACGCCCAGAACCUACAAAACGCCGAGGACCUUCAGGAUUAUCUUUGCAGUGUUCUCUACGAUUGAAACACCUAGAAAGAUAAGCACCUUGUUGAGCAGCAACCUGAAAAAAAAAGGUAUGUACAGAAAUUCUUGUAUCAUAUUUUGAAGAGAGGGAAAAAAAAAGUAAGACUGGCAUCAAAACGUACAAUAGUAGAUGCAAGAAAAAUACCUGUGCAGUUGCAGGCAGGCUUUUGGCCUGUGAAUCCACUUGAGCAAGGGCUAGUUUAAAACCUUCAAUAUCAACUUCUUUUAUGUCUUUUCCCUCGGGAUCUUUCAUCAAAUCUUGCACAUCUCUCAGACGCAUGUUCUUCAAAUAGAGUUCCAGUUGGGGAUACCUUACGAGGAUAUCAUCUACCACAUCUUGGAAUUCUUGAACAGUCAAGGUACCAGAAUUGUCUUUGUCUGCAGCUUUAAAUAUGGAUGCAAUAUCCUCCUAAAGCACAAUGGCAUUGCAUCAUAUUCAAAUCUUGUCCAAAAUUUCACAAAUUUAUACAAUUAUAUAAAAACCAAGAAUUUGAAGCAAACAUGAAAUGGAUGAGGAAAUAAAAAGGUAAAUGAAUUGAUAGUGAAGACCAAAAAACAAAGCUGAUAAAGGCAUUCAGUUUGUCCAUGAAAGGUGAUUCAAGUAUUUCAAUGUCUCUUUAAAAAUGAGAAGUAUUAAAAACAUUGGCACGCCUCCCUUAUUCAGCAACAAAACACCAGUAUUCAAUAAUUAACGUGAUCUACAUAUGGUAUUCUAAUGCAAAGGCUUAUUUGGGAGUCCAACAGUUAAUUUGAUUGAUCACAAUUCUGUAAGUUCCAUUUACUAAAGAAGUUCCCAAGGAAUUCAUUAGAGGAAUGUUUCCAAUAAAAAUUGUUUGUUCUUGCAUAUCCCUAUUGUUUUUCCAAAUUAAUCCCACAGAUACAUAUAAUUCAAAAGAUAUGUGAGUGAAUAUACAGCAUCUCUUUCUGGAACAUGUAAUAUCAUAAAAAAUAGUAGAAAAAAAGUUCAGUGCACAAACUUCAUAAAGAGACUCAACAUUCCAGCAAAAGAAUUGCAUAUAUUGGAGAUCAGAGAAGCACAACUUGUUGCUAUCUCUGCUUAUUUUGUGUAUUUCAAAGAAGCAAAGGUCUCUUGUUUAUAUAAACAUGCGCACCUAAUCCUAACAUUUUGCCAUCUGCACUCUAUUCUGAUGCAAGUUUUCCAUGAUUUAGGUUAUCAAACUCAAUUAACAGAAAAAACAAAGAACAAAUCCCAGGAUGUAUAGGCUGAAUCUAAAACUAUUAAAGCAUUUCACGAUGCAAAAUGUCCCCAAGAUAAAUAAACUAGGCAUCUCUUAAGAAUUAAAUUGACAGGCUAAAGGAUUCACCAACCAUGAUCUUCCGCUGAUCUAUUGUGGCGCAAUCACCAAGUGCAUAUACAUUUUCACAUUCCUUUACUCGCAGCCAUUCAUUAGUUGCAAGAACACGUCUGUUAGCCUGCAUAUGAAACAAAGUUUAAAGUGUAAUUAAUAGAGUAAGAACAACCAUGUAGUCUGACAACUCUGAAAAUCUCAAAAUAACAGCAUGAGCUUGAUGCCACUCUACAUACUUAAAAACUUGGAUCUUAAGUGACUCGGUAGAAUAACCUUCAUUCAUAAGCGAGCAUUGUCAUAAUAGAGUUAGAAUCUGCUAUAUGCAACGAACCUGCCCAAUUUGCUCCAUGAAGUCCUUCACAACUGGGCGAGUGCUGAUACCAGUAGACCAUACUACCAAUCCAUGUGGUAUAGAUGUAACCUCACCCUUGGAUUUGACCUUCAUGGUAAUUUCUUUAUCAGAAACACUGAGAACUCUACAUCCUGUCUGAACUUCAAUACAAUCUCUUUGAAACUUCUUCUCAGCAAAUGUACUAAUUCUCUCAUCAAACCUACAAAGGCAGAGUAUAGUAGCUGCUUAGUUUUCAAAUUUUCUUCUUGCCCAUUUGCUGAGAUGCAUUUUAUAAGCAAAGAUGAAGCCAUCAUAUCAGCAAUAAACAUACUUCUUUAUAAGGAACAUGAGGCCAAUUAUAUGCAGUAAUAGUUCCAGUGGCACAAUGAUGAUGAAUAUGAGAACAUCUCACCAGAACUGAUAGUUUGGCAUUCCAGUGACUUGUGCUCAGAAGCAUUAUAAAUGUAGAUUGUGAAAGCUAAAACCUUACAUGUUUAAAAUAUGAUCUCCAGACUGGAUUAAGGUUAUUUUCACUAGAUCUUUAACCAUAGGAUAGACAUUGACUAAAUCUUCCUGGAUAAAGUCAUGCAGCUCAGCAGCAAACUCCACUCCAGUGGGACCCCCUCCAACAACUACAAAAUGAAGGUUAGUUCUUCGCUCUUCUUCAGUCAGGCCAGGGAUGGAAGCCUUUUCAAAACAAUCAAUCACACUUCUGCGGAGCUUCUGUGCAUCCUCCAAUUCCUGAAAAGGUCAGUUUCUCCCUUUAUAGAAAGAAAAGCCCAAAACCUCGUGGAAGAUUGCUGAGUAGUAGAUAUUAUACGAGGAUUACAAUAUUACCUAACUUCACCCUAUAUAAUUAAAAUGACCCUACCUUCAGAAAAUGGCAGUUCUCCAUGACACCAGGGGUGUUAAAAGUGUUUACUUGGGCUCCUAUCGCUACCACCAAGUAGUCAUAUUCCAGGGAAAAAUCUUCAGCACCAAUCACGUUGUUCUCAAAAUGAGACUUACAGAAAACCUUGUUUUUUGCAGCAUCAAUCUUGACACAUUCUGCCUCGAAAAAUUGAAUUUCACCAUUUCUCUAUCAAAAUAAAAUGGAAAUUUUAUAAGAAAAUAAACAUGAAAACAUAGUGAUCUGUACAAACUGCAGUCAUAUGUUUAUAUUCAUGAAUGUGAGUAUGAGGUAUUUUUGUGUGAGUGUGUGCACCCAUGAAAUCGCUCAAAAUUUAUCACAUGAUUAAAUAUGGGUUCUUGUUAUCUUCCUUUACCUUCUUUAUAAUAUUCCUCACUGGCUCUACAAUGCUCCGAGCUUCAACAGUACCACAGGUCACACUAGGCAACAGAGGGGUGAAAGCAAAAUAAUUGCGGGGUGAAACAACCUGAACGUCAUAUGAAGAAAUAUCCAGAUCUUUAAGGAAACUAGUACCCGCCCACCCUGUUCCCAGAACCACCACUCUCUUCUUCUUACACUCAUUCUGAUUAAGCUCAGCAGCAGGCGCAGCUGUUUCUGAUUGCGAAUCAGCAUAUGCCACUAGACCUCCACUACUGUAAUAGACCUCAAGAUAGCAGACAUAUUUAUUAGAGAAUGACUGGUAGAAUUCGUGAAAUUGUAAGUUCAUAGUUUAUGCAAAAUCUAUGUGGAUUAAAGCAAAAGAAAAAACUUGUAAUGAAUCCAGAAAAUUAUCUUUUCAAGGACCUUAACUGCUAGUCUCCUGCUUUAUAAUAGGUAAAGAAAAUGAUAAGCUAUUCGGAGAACUAGGUUCAAACAUGGUAGACGUCAUUCAACUAGAAUGAGGCCAAGUUCAAAGCAAAAAACAAAUCAACUAUAAACAAUGGCAUUUCACUAGUAUAAGAUUGUUCAACCUAAUUGGACAAUAUCAUUUAUCCUAUAUGUGUGUGUGUGUGCGCGCGUGUGUGUCGAAAAAUUGACAAAUCAUAUUGUUAGCUUUCACUUGGUGCCGUAUUCUGUUAAAAUCAUUUGUUAAGGGCACCAUUGGGCAUCCUAAAUGCUACAUUUUGUGAAAUGUAGCUACUGAUACCAUGGAAGCACUCAAUUCCGGGAAUGUAGCAUUUUGCAAAUCUAGUUCCAAAACUCUGUAAAAACAUGAUACAUUGCUAUCAAUUCAACAUAUAAAGCGAAUUCUCACACAUAAAUAUUCAGUCAAGUUUGAUGUUUCAAACCCAUUGACUUCCUUUCACAUUACAACAUCAUGAAUUUCACUUGCUUCAGAAGGGCAAAGGUCACAAAUUAUACUAAUGCAUCUAAAAUUUUCCAUUUUGAUCGAUAAACCCCACAUCAAGCUCCUUCCUUGGUUCCUGUCACACUAAAAAACCUCACUAAUCAAAUCCAGAAAAAAAAGUCAACUAUCAAAUAAAUAACUUACAUUGACAUCAAGAAACUACAUUCAACAACAACAUAGCUAUGUUAAGAUCAUAAAUCAAAAGGGACAAAAAAGAUUGAUCUUUAGAAAAUCAAACCCGUUAAAAGAAGGAGAAAUUCAAAGAUUCGAGACCCUUUUGUUUGCUAAGUAAUCUAGUUUUCUUUAAGAAAAAAGAAUGAACCCAAAUUGCAAUUUUUUUCCCUUUUUAUAAAAGAUAUAAACUUUAUGCUUUUUCUCAGCAACCAAAAAGACAAACAGUGUUCCUUUCACACAUUCCAAGUCAACACCUUGAAAGGAUCUGUCUGUUUAAUAAAAGCUACUAAAAUAACUGAAGAGAUCUUUAAAAAUUCACGUUUUUUAACUUUUAUUUGAAGAAAGUAAAGGUGAAGAAACGAAACACUAGAAAAAAAAGUACAUAACCAACCUGAGAGUGAAGAGAACAAGAAGCUUAGAGGAAGCAGGAUUGCCAUGGAGAGCUCUUGAAGCUCUGUUGAUGAAGGACAUAAUCGUCAUUUCCUGAAAAAUAUCUCAAAUUCAAGAGGGUCUUGACUCUUGAUAAAGAAGAGAGCUGCCUCUCAGACACGGCACUGAAUAGUGCCUGCUAAUUAUCCGUAGAGAGUGAUUGGGAGACAAAGACAAAUGCAACCACUUGGCCUUAUGCAAUGAUAGCAUAACACGUGUACUUUUUUUUUCCGCACACCUUCUAAAAAGAUGGAGGGAAUAUGGGUAUUACUUGUGAAGAAAUUAAAAAUUUCACGAUCCUUUUUUUUUUUUUCCUUUUUGUUUCAGCUUUUUUUCUUUAGGUAUGAUCAAGAUUAACUUCUUAUAUAUGAUUUUAUUACUUUGUUAUUGUUUAGAAAUAGAGGAUACGAAAAUAGUAAUAUAAAAAAUACGCGUUUCUUUAUAUUUUAUAUUUUAAAAAUAUUUGAAUUCACUCAAAAAUUAUUUUAAAUACAAACGUAUUUUUUUCUCUUCUAUUAUUUUUAUUAUGAAUUAUUAACCAAGUGCAAAAUAUGGACUUCAUAUUACUCAAAUACAAGAAUAAUUCCUAUAAACAUAUACCAUAAUAUUUAUAUUUUCAAACUCCUGCAUUAUCUUCGAUUUCAACCAGAAAUAAUAUAUGAAUAACCAAAUUUAUUUUUAGUUGCAAUUCUAAGUCAAGCUUUGAGAAAAUAAAAGGGGAGACUUUUUGAACUUUCAUGAUCAAACCCAGUUAGAAUAAUAAAAGUGAAGAUUUUUUAUGGUGUUUGGUAUUAGGUUUAAUUAUAUUAUAUAUAUAUAUAUAUAUAUAUAUAUGUAUGAAUGUAUGUAUAUAUAUAUAAAGGUGUUUGUUUUAUUUAAAAAAAUCAAAUUGUAUUUUGUAUAAAAAGUAAUCAAUUAUAACUCUUAAUUUAUCAGGUCAACUUGUUCGUAAUCACAAAUAUAUAUUAAAUUCUACUUAUUAAACAACAAUUAUAACUUAUCCAAUAAGCAGUAGCACCACUUGAGAAGGCCAUCAGAAACAAUUGGUUAUUAAACGUUUAGCUAGUCAAAGUCACAUAUUACAGAUUCAUAUAAUUAAUUUAAUUUGACUUGAAUUAUUAAUUUUUUUAAAAAAAAUUAAAAUUAUAUUAUUUUAAAAACAAUUCUUGAUAAUUUACUAAAUCACAAAUUGAUUCACCAAGUUAAUUAGAUUAAACCAUAUAAUAUUUUAAAAUAUAUCAACCCCAAGCUAAAAGAUAAGUCUCGAAUUAAUCUAUUAGACUAAUUGUCUAUUUAGUGUGAUUGUAACUUUUAAAAAUAUUUUUCAUUCAAAAAUAUAUUAAAAUAAUAUUUUUUUUUAAAAUUAUUUUUGAUAUCAGCGCAUCAAAAUGAUUUAAAAAUACUAAAAAAAUAUUAAUUUAAAAUAAAUAAAUUUUAAUUUUUUUUAAAAAAAAUUUAGAACAUAAAAAGAAACAAGACAUAAGUCAAGUUGAAUAAUCAUAGUGUGUGAUACUUAAUUUUAACCAAAAAAACAGAAAAAUACAUUGAAAAAUCUUAUGUUUUGCAGUAAAUAGUUUAAAAUCCGUAAACUAAUAAAGAAUAAUGAUAGAUUACCACAAGCAAAUAUACUGUAUUUUUUUUAUCAGGGUAAAAAUAAAUGGAUCAUUAGUCGUUAAGACACACAAUCAUCAUUGGAUCAACGUGUUGCACGUUGCCACGCGGCGUGAGUUUGGCAUUUUUUAUUAUUUUUUUGUUAAUUUUGGUUUUUUUCUGAAAUUUUUUUAAAAAUAUAGAAUUCUGACCGAAUAUUAUCCAGUGAACACAGCCAAAUCCUUAUCUUGUCUGAAUGGCCGACAAAAACAUACGAGGGUACAGAGAAAAACAAAUACUUAAAGAGGCAUAAUCCUCGUAACAAAACCUUUAACGGAGGAAGGAAUAAAAGGAGACAAAAGGAAGUAAUUUUAAAUUCAAUGCAAAUUAACUUGGUUGAUAUAGACAGUUUAAAAUUAAAUUAAAUGAUAAUUUACUAGAUUAAUCUAAUGAGUUAAGACUGAUCAUUAGUUAAAGUUUAGUUUGACUUUUUUAAAAAAAAAUUAUCAAUUUAAUUCUUUUUUAAAACAGUAUCAAAACAAUAUUAUUUUAAAUUUAUUAAAAUAAACUCAAAUUAAUUUAUCCAACUUAUAACUAUGAUUUUUUACCGUACCAUGGAGCCAUACUAGAUUUAAUAAAUUAAGAUAGGAAUGCAAGCAAAUAUUAUAAGUAUAUUUGUAGGGGGUGGGAAUCCACUAUGCAAAAUGAAUUGUGGAUCCCUUACAUGGCAUAAUAGGUGGAUUGUUCACAAUGCCUUUUUCUCCCCUUUGGCCCUUACUAGACCAAAUUGCAGGUCAAUUUGUUGGGGGAAGGGUGACAUUGAAUUACGGGGGAUUAAAGUGAAAAUGAUGGUGGGGUAAAUGACUUUGACAUAGUCUGGGUGAAAUAUUUAUUAAACUUUCCAGACUUUUCGAAUUAUAAAUUUUGGUCCCUUAGCUUCUAAAAUAUGAGGGAAAAUUAAUUUUGGUUCAAAAUUUUAUUUUCGCUAUUUUUUGGUUUCUAGUUUUAGAAAGAGAUGACAGAAAGUGACUGGAAUCCAGCACUAUAAAAAAAAAAAAAUUAUUUUGAUAACUACUUUGACCAAAAAGCAGGUCAAUAAUUAUGUCAAAUUAUUUCAUUUGACGAAGACAUUUCACAUCAAGUAUUUUUUUAUUACCUUGAAAUUGCUUAGAAAAACAUAUAUGAGUUCGAUAAGGGUUUUAGUUUCGGAUUGAUUUUCGAGUUUUCGAAUGUUUUUUUUGUUGUUUUUUCAAGCCAUAAACAUAUUUAUCAAAUUGCCUAAUAUGUUUUAUAUGUGUUUUUGGUCAAAAUGAGUGUUUUUUUUUCAAGAACUUUUGCUUUAAUUUUUCGACCACCAUAGUGGUUGAAAACUGAGCAAUAUCAAAUAACAUGUUAUGUGUCUUAUAUUUUUUUCGAAACAUUUUGGAACGGACAACAUGCCCCACCUAAAAUAUAUAAAAACAAUCAAGGGUUCAAGCACAUGAGUCUACCCUAGCCGGCCCGCGCACGGGCCCUUACUCUAUGGGCCAAGCAUGCUAGCCUAGCAUUUUUCUUUUUUAAUUUUUUUUCUAAAUUAAUGUCUUUUUAUAUGUUUUUUUUUAAAAAUAAUUUUUAAAUUUAUAUUUAAAUUAAAACCCCUUUGCUCUUUUAUCUUGUUUAUUUAGUCUCUUUUAAAUAAUGAUUAUUUUUUAUUAUUAUUUUAUAUGCAUUUAUUUUUUUAAGAGAUUAUUCUAAUUCACCUAUAUUUUUUUUAUUUUUUUAUAUAAAUGAGAGUUAUUUUCAAAUAUAAAAAAUAUUUAUUUUUGGAUAAUAUUUUUAAUAUGUUUACCUUACAUGGUACUUUUAUUUUUUUUAUUUAAUCAAUUACAUGGGUGUCUAUUAUUAUUGUCAUUUGAUUAAAUAGAAAAAAAUUAAAAAGUUGGGAGGUCAAAUAUUUUGGUAUAUAUCUGCCACUUAAUUUUUCAUCUUUAUUUAUUAUUAAUGGCUUUUUAUUUAUUUACUUGCUAAUACAUUGAGUUCCAUAUUUAUUUGAUUAGAUGUAUAUAUGAAUUUUUUGAUUCUCACUUGGGAUUUUUUUUAUAAAAAGAAAAACGCUUAAAAAAGUCUAUAUAUUUAUAUAUUUUUUAAAAAAUUAAUCUAUAAUAAAACACCGGUAAAAUAACUAGCAAAAUUAAGGGAGUUGCUACAACCUAGUAAAUUAUUAUGUUAGAUUGAUAGGCAGAGUGGAGUGAUGAGAAGGCAAAAAACAUAUAAUUAAUUCAUCUAUUUAUGUGGUUAAUAAAAUAGUGAGAGUAUGAGAAUAAAUCCAUAAGAAUUAAGAUAUAAGAACAAUAUAAUUACUGGAGAAAAAAAAUAACAUUACAAAGAAGAUAAAAGAAUGAGAACUUUCUCUUUAAAGUGCGAACAUUAGAAAUUGCAAUUAACACGAUUUAUUGCAAUCCAAAUAAAUAAAUAAACCUUCAGGUCUCCAUCAACACUAAUCAUGCCAUUUUACGAGAUGUCCUACCGUGGACCCAUGGUGGGGGCACAUGAUUUAACGGGGCAUGAUUUGCAUGAUUUAACUUGUUUAGAAAUGUCUUGGAAUUAAUUUUUUAAAGUAUUUUUUAUUUGAAAAUAAAUUAAAAUAAUAAUUUUAAUUUUUUUAAAAUUUAAUCAAAAUUAUACAAAAUCAUAAAAAAAUUCAAAAUUAUUUUUUAAAUACCAAAAUAAACACAUUCAAAUUCUAACUGAAUUCAAAAAUUAACUUAAAACUUGCCGUUUAUAAUUUACAUUAAUUAAAAUUUUAACUUAGUAAGAUUCAUUCAACUUAAUCAUAUUAUUGAAGAAUCGAGUGAUAUGAUAAAACUUGAUUUACAACCAUCCAAGUCAAUAUUGUUUUUUUUUAUUUUUUGGUACUUUAGAUUUUCAAAAACCCAAUUUAUUCAUUUACCCGUAAAAAAUCAUAGUUAUUAUCGUAUGUGUAUUUAAGACUUUAAAUUUAAUUUAUAAUUUAGAUAUGUGAAUUAUAUUUGUCAAUUCAAACCAUUAUUUGUUUUUUUAUAUAAAAAAAAUUUAACUAAAAAAUAGAUUAAAAUUAAGGUUAAAGGUUAUAUUAAAAUUGAGACAUGUUUAAAUGUUGCAUGAUAAAUUGUUUUUAUUUUAGCAUGUUAUUGAUUCACCAAGUUAAUAUAGUAACCCACGUGUUAAUGUAAUUAUCUAAAAAUUUAGAUUAUUUUUUAAAUAAUUUCUUUUAAUUUUGAACAUCGAUUGGGAAACUCACCUUUAUGUAGGUAACUCUAUGCUUGAACAAGCCUCUGAAUUUUCAAAAUACAAAUGAGAAUUUCGGGAGGGACAAAUAGAAUCUGCCAUUCAUGGCACCAUUUUAUUUUUGUGUUCUUAAUUGUUUUAGAUAUUUUUCAAAAAUAUAUAUGGCUUGAAAAAAAAUAUUAAAUUAAUAUUUUAUAAUAUAUUUUUUUAUAAUUUUAAUACUAAUAUAAAAAAAUAUUUAUAUCAAAUACACAAUUAAGAAUCUAAACUAUUGCAGUAAAACCAUGCUAUAUUCUAAAUUCUUGAGAACCGCUUGUCUAAUAAAUCAUAAUUUUAAAAUCUCUUAAUACUAUUUUUAGCCUUUGGAAAUUAAUAAAUAUGUCACUUCGAUUCAUGUAGUUUAAAAGUUUUCAAUGUCAACUCUUAUUUUUCUAGGAGGUCAACUUUUGUUCAAUAUCAAAUGAGAUCAUCAAUCAAUAUUAAUAAAACGUUUUUAUUAUAUAUUUAAGAUAUUUAUUAUUAUAAUCAUCGUUCUUAUUAAUGCUACAAUGAUAGCAAGGAUACAAAAUUAUUUAAUUAAAAAGAUAAAAAUAAAUGUAUUUUUAUGACAAUUUUAAAAUAAUUUUUUAUACUUCUAGAAUACAAAGAAAUAUACGUUUUCUCUAACCCCAAUGUCUUUGUCUUUUAUAUUAUAAGACAAUAAUCAAAAGUUACCUAAAAGUAAUAUAUGAACACACCAUGCGUUUAAUUAGGACAAAAAAAAACUUGAAAAUAAAAUGAUUUUUUAAAAAAAUUUUCUUUACAUCUUAGAAAAUAAAUAAAAAAUUGAAAACCUCAAAUUAACCCACUCAUCGAUAUUAAACUUGAAUAACCUGUAAAAAUAAAUGGUUUAUUUAACCAAGUUUAUAUUAAAAUAAUAAUAUAUUAGAUUUAUCUGUGUUUUGUAAUUUAAGUUAUCAAAUCCACAAUGAGUUAUAGAUUCCACCUGAUGGAAGAACUUGGUUUUUUUCAAUACAAAAACAAAAACAAAAACAAAUGCUUGUUUUAUUAAAUACAGACUAAGUAUCAUGAUAUUUGUUUGAUAUUACAAUAAUAUUAUAAAAAAUAAACCAUUUCAAUUUAUAAAGAUAAAUUUAAAAUCAAGUAAAUACUAAAAAUUAAAAUUCAAAAAAGAAGGAAAAUGAGAAGAAAAAAAAUUCACCCCCUUCAAUGUUUAGAUGUAUCAAGUAACGGAGAGCCUCAGCUGGAAGGUGUAUCAACAAUGGAGGAUUCGCCACUGUUUCACUUGACUUGCUUUCAUUCCAAGACACUGACUUCCUUUCUCCAUUAUGUUAAAAUGGGUUCUGUAUCCAAGUUUCUUAACGAGAACAGCUACACAUAGCAGCCCUUCAAUGCAAAGUGAAAGCAACGAAAGAGAGUGUUUUUCGUUGUCCAGCUUGCUGUGAUAACAGAGGUUGGAGUGCUGUGUCAGCGAUGUCUUUGAGAAAUGUCUACAAAUUCCCAAACUUGGCAGACUCAGAGCAUCUCCGAUGAGAAACGCUAAAUGAAAGAGCUAAAUGGUUAAUAUACAACGAAUUUACGUUGUGGUUUUGAAAGAAUGAGCGUAAAGGUUGAAAACAGGGGAUGGAAAGGAGGCAAUCCUGGACCAUAAGAACUUUGAAUAAAAUAAAACAACAAUUUUCUUUUGCUUCAUCUUCUCCCUUCAGCUCACUCCACACGAUUUUCAGCUUAGCUCAAAACCACCCAUGGCAGCCAACAAACUUUCCCUCCUCCACUAAACCCACACGAUUUCAGUCUCAACCCAGCAGGGACUACACAACUGGAAGCAAGGUGCUUUGAGAUUAGCACACACUGGAAGAAUUAUAACACGUCUUAAAUUGCUUUUGGUUAACACUCACAUGCCAACAAUAUGAUUUCUAAGUCUUGUUCUUUGAAUUAGAAUCAAAAUCAGAAUGCAACAAACCCCAACAAGAAAGCUGCUACAACUCCUCCGAAUAUAUGUUUGGCGUCUAGUUUUUCUCUUCCAGUGCAAGCUCUAUCUUUGGAUGUGCUAUCGAGAACUUUACAGUCUCCAAGGUUUUGAAAAGAGUUUUCAUCUAGAUAACAGCAGUCCAGAAACAACUCUUCUAGAACCUGCUAAGGUCAAGUUAAAAAUUGUUGUUGCUGCUGCAACAUCCAGAGCUCACCUUCAUUGUCAACACAAAAAAAAUAAAAAUGGCUGCCUUCUAGUCGCGGAGCAGUUGCUGUAGGAGUAUUGGUGGGGCAAAGCCAAUCGGAGGAUGUUGUAUUGAGAAGUGCUUGCAAUCAGAGGAUGAUGUACUGAGAAGCGCUUUCACUGCUACACCAAGUAACUCAACCAUGGCAGAUUUUUGUCGAAGUUUGAAUAACAUCUGCUAGCUCGGCAAUAAAUAGAUGACAACGAAUUGGAGCAAUGACUUCCAGCUUCUUCAUUAACCCCAACCAAAGCCAAAUCAAACUCAGCCGAUAUAAAUCCACUCUUCAAAACAAAGAAACCUCUCUAUAGGAUUCCCCCCCUCUCCCUUGGGUGACCGUGAUGUGAGUAAAGAGCAUAGAAACCUGCCUCAUGGUGAAGAGACUGGCUAUGAAAUUUUUGCAUAAGGUCAUGCGUGAAAAUCUGAAAAUAGCAUGGAUUUCGCUUUUGAAAGGAGCAAACACCAAGAGUUGAGACCAUUGAGAACAUAUAAGAUCAAAUCAGAAUCAUCAAUAGGUUUCCAACGGUAGAGAGUUCAUCAACAAGAGAUUUAACUUCAUCCAGAAAUUUCUGACAAGACAAGAAGCCUUGCUGUAAAGACUGCAACUUUCACUUGAUAAGAGAAACGCGAGAAGUUGAUGGCACAACAAAAGAUGCACCAAGGGCUUGCCAAACAAGACGAGAAGUCUCAAGGCCAUAAAUGGUGGAGACCACCGUAGGAGAUAAUGAGUAGAUAAUCCAACCAAGUAUUGUUUGGUCCUUAUACUCCAAGCCAUAUAAGCAGAAUUAAUAAUAUCUUGGACCUUGUGUUCUUUGCUGGAAACCGAGGAGGACAAAAUUCGGAACCAUCAACAAUUCCCAUGAGUUCAUAACUCCGAAACAGAGAAAGCAAUUGAGCACUUCAGGCAAGAAGGUUCCAUCGAGUUUGAUGGAAAUAACUUGAGCUGGAAGAUGCAGCAGAAGACAAUGAAGAAUCUACAACAGCAGCCAGAAGAUCGUUAGAAGCAUUAGUUAUGAGAUGCAAAGAAUUAUAACACGUCUUAAAUUGCUUUUGGUUAACACACACGACUGGAAGCUAAAAGGGAAGUUCUUCUUAGAAUACUUGGCCAGGACUGGGACAAUCAAAGUUAGAUUUUUCUUCUUCAAGGCAAGGUGCUUUGAGAUUUCAUGUUGCUCUAUUCUCUUGCAUCAGUUUUUUAAGAGGAAGAGGCAAGUGCAGAUAGCCGUUGGCUAACGGUUAUAUGUAGCUUCAACAACAUUUUAGCUUUUUCAUAGAAUGUGUACAAAUAGCAUAGCAUUUCAUUUGAAGAAAUGCUAUUUUACCUGUUGAUAUAUAGCAAUCACAUUGGAGUUGCUAACAUGAGAGGAAAAAAAGCUAACAUAACUGUUAUUCCCUUUUAGCAGCUGUGUUGGAGAUGCUCUUAUAGCUGACAAGGAUGACAAAGGAAACACACCCUUACAUCUGAUCGCUGCAUUAGCGUCCAGAUGGGGAAAGUUCUCUGUUUAGAAUUAGUACAACAGAUCAGGAAUUUUUAUAACCAGCUAAUAGUUCCAUCGUAAAACACACUAGUUGUGGCAACAUGAACAAACGCUUGGCAGUAGAUCAAUGAUAAAUUGAUAAUUGUUAUUUGAUAAUAAGUUAUAAUAAUGGAUCAUAAACAAUAUUUUAACGUUUCCCCUGCAGAAACGGAUCUUAGAAUCCUUCGAAAAUGAUGGUAGUAAACCACUUGUGGAGCAUUGUGGUGAAGAGCUGAAAAAGGCAAGCUCAACGGACAAUUAAGACACGGAUAUUUCGAUAAAAUGAGAAUUAUGAAUUGAUUGAAAAUAAACUUCUAUUAAAUCAGUUUCUAUUAAAUAGGCAGUAUAUAUACCAUUACAAGAAAAUCGGGAUCACAAUCGGAUGAUAACAUUAUCCCUGAAGAAAAACCUAAUAACAUCAAACUUCCCAGUAUCUGCUGAAUGAUUCCAACAAAAUAGCAUAUCUGACGAUUUCCUAGAAAUAUAGUUCAGCUAUAGCCAACUUGAUGAUCUCUCACGAAGAUUCCAGCAUCUCUUUCAUUCCUAACAAUAGCAGCGGUCACAUUUACGGCACCAUUUCCCUCCCAUAGCCUGCCGGUUACAGGAACAAACAAAGCCCUGAUCAAGGCACAGCAAUUCUGAUUAACAAAUGAUAUGUCAAUUUCAAACGUCUGGCAUCAAAACAUGCCAACAGACAUUUAGAAUUGCAGUGCCAUGAUUAGGGCCUCCUUCGUUCACGAGAGCCUUCCAGCUUGCCAUCAUCUUACAUUACUAAUAAGAAAGUUUGAAACUGCAAUCCUGGUUAUGAAGUCUACAGAUGAAGUCUACAAUCUGUAAUAAGGCUCGUUUUUAUAUUAUUCCAGUCAUUUGAUUGACUGGAAAAAUUUAUAAUAGAUCCAUUAAUGAGCAUUCAAUUGUAGAACAGAAAAACAAGGGAAAUGGAUAUAGUGCUGUUAUUUAACUCCUAUCUUGUGGGUUAUGCGGGAGAAGAAGCUGAUGACAACACACACUGUCUGAGUUUUUUCAGGCUCUAAACCCAUUUACAGAGGGUACAAGAGUAUAGUUAAAACUCAAUUUCAAUAGCAGAUUUAAAAACUACGAAUUUUUCAGAAUCAAUUUGCCUCAGUUAAAUCCAUUAAUAUCAUUACAAUGUAGCUUACACCAAGUAGGUUCUCCCUGUAAACAGGGUCUCGGCUCCACUACACCUAAAAUAAAUUGGAUUGUAUCAUCACAGACAAAUUUACAAUACAUUGAUGCUCAAAACAAAUAAUAACAUGAC
rnacentral:lncRNA from 1 species